UACGAAGGUGGCAAGCGUUACUCGGAAUUACUAGGCGUAAAGGGCAGGUAGGUGGUUUGGUAAGUCUAUUGUGAAAGCUCCUGGCUUAACUGGGAGAGGCCAAUGGAUACUGCCAAGCUUGAGUAUAGGAGAGGUUACUGGAAUUCCCGGUGUAGCGGUGAAAUGCGCAGAUAUCGGGAGGAACACCAAUGGCGAAAGCAGGUAACUGGACUAUUACUGACACUCAACUGCGAAAGCUAGGGGAGCAAACAGG
rnacentral:rRNA from 1 species